GAAUUUUGGACAAUGGGGGCAACCCUGAUCCAGCCAUCCCGCGUGUGCGAUGAAGGCCUUCGGGUUGUAAAGCACUUUUGUCAGGGAAGAAAAGGUUCUGGCUAAUACCCGGAACUGAUGACGGUACCUGAAGAAUAAGCACCGGCUAACUACGUGCCAGCAGCCGCGGUAAUACGUAGGGUGCAAGCGUUAAUCGGAAUUACUGGGCGUAAAGCGUGCGCAGGCGGUUCGGAAAGAAGGAUGUGAAAUCCCAGGGCUCAACCUUGGAACUGCAUUCUUAACUACCGAACUAGAGUAUGUCAGAGGGGGGUAGAAUUCCGCGUGUAGCAGUGAAAUGCGUAGAUAUGCGGAGGAAUACCGAUGGCGAAGGCAGCCCCCUGGGAUAAUACUGACGCUCAUGCACGAAAGCGUGGGUAGCAAACAG
rnacentral:rRNA from 1 species